rnacentral:snoRNA from 1 species
AAGCCAACGUAAAUAUAUGAAUAAAGAGUAUCUUCAGGAGACAUAAUAAUGCAAAAAUCAUGCUCAAUAGGAUUAAGCUGAGGCUC